rnacentral:hammerhead_ribozyme from 1 species
AUCCAGCUGAAGAGUCCUAAAUAAGAUCAAACGCACUUCCUGGAU